UCAAGAAACUUCCACAAUGGGCGAAAGCCUGAUGGAGCGACGUCGCGUGAUGGACGAAGUGCUUCGGCACGUAAACAUCUUUUAUGUGGGAUGAAAUUAUUGACAGUACCACAUGAAUAAGGGGCUCCUAACUCUGUGCCAGCAGGAGCGGUAAUACAGAGGCCCCAAGCGUUAUCCGGAAUCACUGGGCGUAAAGGGUGUCGAGGCGGUUGUAUUAGUCGUUCGUAAAAUCUACGAGCUUAACUUGUAGGCGGCGAACGAAACGGUACGACUUGAGGUUUGGAGAGGUGCGUGGAACUCACGGUGUAGGGGUGAAAUCCGUUGAUAUCGUGGGGAACACCAAAGGCGAAGGCAGCGCACUGGCCAAAAUCUGACGCUCACACACGAAGGCUAGGGUAGCGAAGAGGAUUAGAUACCCCCGUAGUCCCUGAGCGGGCUGGCAAGGCGCAU
rnacentral:rRNA from 1 species